ACGUGACUCGCGGUGUGAACAGCGAGAGGAGAAAAAUCGAUGGCUGGGGCGAGGUGUGUCUGCGACGACGGUCUCGAGCGAGUCUAGACGCAUCCAUCUGCCGCAAGAACGAGGACCGCACCUCGGGGUUGCGACGGUCGCGCAAUUUCGCAAAGGGGGCAGGUCGGAUCACGGUUUCGCGGCCGACGCUGACGUGCGUUUGCGAUUGUCGCGCGCGCGAUCCACCGGGGCGGUGUGCACCUCGCGAAGCGCCUCGUCGCGAGCGAUCGGCCGUCUCCCUCGCCACACGAUGCCCGAGAACGCGAGCGUCCAUCGGCGACUCGGCGAUCGCACCGAACGCGUCCGCGAUACGAACGUUCAGCAGCACCCUCGCGCGUCGCAUCGGAUCAGGGUCUGCAAUCCGGACUAGACGCGAUGACGACGUGCUGGAUACACCAGAUUCCCGUAUGCGCUCAUAAUUAUAAAGAGAAAUUUAAUUUAAGGCUGGAAGACACGCGCACGUUUAAAAUACGUCCGCUCGAUAGUAAUUGGGAUGCUCUCUGCUACGCGUUGGAGCACGUAUGUAGGCGCGGUUGUUCUAAUUUUGGAACGCAGACGUCUUUUCCAAUCUCCAAAUUACGUUACAUCAUUUUUCACGAAAUGCAAGUAAAGUAAUCCACGUGCAAGUAUUUCAUCACAUUAUUAUAUGCGCAAGUGACUCUGUUCUCGUGAGUGAAAUAUUUACAUAUUAAAUAAAGAUGCUAAAUUCGUUUAAUUAGCAUUUAAAGCUACGUAUGUUAAUGAUCACAGUAUUUUUGCGUGAAUUAACGCUGCAGAUAAUUUUGUAACUAUUAAAUUGCUGCAAUAAGCGCCGUUAAUUCACAACGUUCCGCGUACAUGGUGUAUUAUUUCCGCUUGAAAACUCUAUUAAUUCCAUUUAAAUUUCCAGUAAUUCAACUAGAUUAGUAAUUCAGCGUUGCAUUCAAGUUGUUCGAGCCCCCCGAUCGACAUUGUUUAAUGACCAAUAACCGACGUUAAUGCCACAGCGUUACGUUUAUCUUUCCGUCCACGAGAAUUAUGUGUUGUAGCUUUACGAUUCGAGUGCCCGAUAAUUGGAGAACGUCAAAUCGUUUGCUCCCCUGCUCCACAUUAAACGGGAUAUUAUUUAUCGCCACUAUAAAGUACAUUUCCAUUUGCGCGACAUUGCGAAAAAAUAUUUACUGUAAUUACGAUGAUAGCAAUCACGUAUUUCCUCUGUCUCUCAUCUCUGUCUUCUAUAAAUUUGAUAACUUACUCGUUAACGCUAGGGUGUACUUAAUUAUCAUACUUGAUGAUCUUACGUUAGAAUAUAUUUGGACGUACGACAUGAUGGAGAGAUUGGUCUGAUUCACACAAAGGGGCGAAGAGUAACUCGUUAAUUUUAAGUAGUUUCUCUGUGAAAUUCAUAUUACGCAUAAAUUUCAUAUUGCUCACGUUACGCAAUAUCGUAUUGCUUUUCCAUUCAGAUAACUCGCUAUCACAGUUUAUUUUAUCACAUAAAAAUGAUAUGAGAAAUUCCAUCAAAUGGAACUUUCUAUCAAAUUAAAAAAAAUUCUGCUCGUAUAUUUUUUAUGUUUCGUCUCUCUUAAUUUGUUACAGAAUGACUUUAGAAUAAUUAUGAAAAAUCGGUUUUCUUUGUAUAUAUGAGAUUAAGUCUCUAUCACAUAAAGGAAUAUCGAACAUGUCGGUGCAAAAACCACGCGUCUCUAUCUCCAGUAAGAUAACGCGUUUGUGCGUUUUAAUGUCAUAGCAUGAUUGUCGAGAAAUCGGUGUACUUUCCUUGAAAGAGCGUUUGAAAAAUUAAUUUUGAAACUUCGAGAACGGAAAUAGAGUUCGCGGAGUCUCGUUCUUAAGUUACCUCCAAUUAGAGUCGCUCUAAGAGUAUUCUAAUUUCAGGCCCUGAUUACCAGGGCAUUCAGCAUCGAAAACUCAAAGAGUUGCAUCGAGCGGACUUCUUUCUAUUUAGACAUUGUGGAAAAAAUGGGGUGUACGAGGGAGAGGCUAUUUAGCUUCGCGCCGUGCCCCGGCUAUCUUUUUAUUGAUGUCAUACAAGUAGCGUGGAUCGAUAAGAACGAGCUGUGCAUGUAAAUGUGAUGUAGAAAAGAUAUUCGCGCGAUGUAACGCUGCAACUUGACUGGAAUGCGACCGGCACAGAGAAGUACGUCGCAAUAAGUUCUUUUCCGGACGAGGAUAACUAAUGUGCCGGUCAGAAUAUGGAACAUAACUCUUCCCACGUCACAUUCUGAAAUCAUAUCUUAAGAAAUGAGAAGGUAUUCCUUUUUCUAUUAUCUACCAUGAGUUGUCCGGUAAUUAUUUUUAAGCGCAAAUAACCAUUAUCUGUUACUGUCCAGCAGAACGUAAGAAGUUACGAAAGCAAAAACGAGUUUGCGCUUAUGCAAUUACGCAUUUGCCAGCGCAUUUGUCUCAGAUUCGCAAAGUGCACGAUUAAUCAUCGGCGAAAAGUGAUCGUCGUCUCUCCAUCCCUGCGUUCCAUCACUUCUAUCGCGCAGAAUGCAGGACAUCGGCUGCGGACGGUUAAUUACCGCCAUCCGCAACUUUGCUGCAUCAUUCGAGCGUAUCCGAGUCAUAUGAGAGGCAUUGAUACAUCUCGCGGUAAGAAAGCCGCUGCUGAAAUUGCCAUUCAUCGCGCGGCCUUCGGAUACGCGUCCACUUCCGCACAAAAUACGACCACGCGCCGCGUGCACGCUUCAGUACGACGCCGACCGUCGCCGAGCGAGGAGCAGUGGUCCGUUUCGCGCGAUCCGGAAACCGGUCGAUCGACGAGGUUCGUGCACUCUGAUAAUUGGCCCUGGCGUUGAUCUUGGUUCGUGUCGGCUUGUGGCGGAAAAUAGAAGUCGGCACACAACAGUUCAGAGGUCCACCACGAGAGAAAGCAGUGCUCGAGCUCGCGUGAGUUACGAGUGAAUCUGUUCACGCGGACGUCGAACACACGAAAGAAAGAUGCAGAACGGAUUUACGGCUGACGAUGUCAUUUAUAAGGAUGUUGUUAUCAUAGGAAACGGACCCAGUGGAAUAUGUUUAUCGUACAUGCUGGCCGGAAACUGGCCUUACUACACCGGCGAGCCUCAUCCUGUCGACGAUAUGCUGACGGCGCGAUUGCGGUUCAGCACGACGAGGACCUGGAACGAGGACUGCGAUGACGCGACGAAUGACAUGAACACCGACGCGACCACCAACAACCGGCGUAAAUGCUGCAAACCCGGCAGGAUGCAGGGAGAUGGAUUGGCGCGUAGCACGCGCUACAAACUUGAAUCUCUCUCCUCUGGCAUCGAGGGCAGAGGUGGUGGUCGGCCCUUGGCACUCCUGAUGGACCAGCUGCAUCAUCCAUCCGUCGACACCGGUCUGGACGUGACCUCGCUCCUCUACUGGAGGUCCGCUGACGAGCAUCCCGAUCACAAAAUCGUGGACCAUGUCGUUCUCGGCAAAGGUCAACCUGGCGGCGCUUGGCAGUCUAUGGAUCCCAAUGUGCUGACUAUCAGUCUAAGCCGAUGGAUGUCUCUUCCUGACUUCGAUUUGAGACACUGGGAAAAACUCAUCGAGGCCGAGAAACUACAAAAGUCGAUCUUAGCAUCGGAGAAAGAUAUGUAUACGCGGCAGGAAAAGUCGAGCAAGAAGUCCAGUCGGAUCUCCAUGGGCACCGUAGCUGCUUAUUACAAAGACUACGUACGCAGGAAAAAUUUGGAACGAUACUUCCGUUGCGGGACCACAGUUACUUCAGUGAGGUCGGACACGGACUCGCCCGAUAGUAAGGGUGGCUACAACUGGAUCGUGAAUGGAUACGAGAACAAAAGCAAGAAGCGAUUUCGAUAUCGGUGCAAGCGGGUGGUCCUCGCGACCGGCACGACCGAUUUGGUGAAUCAUCUGGGCGUUCCGGGAGAGAAGACGCAUCUCGAUUGGGUGACGCAUGACCUCGUCGACCUCGAGACUCACUUGGAACGUCUGGCCGGCAAACGCAGCAAGGACUCGGUCGACGAACAAAAGCCCGUGUUAAUAGUAGGAGCCGGUCUGAGCGCGGCUGACGCGAUUAUGGCCGCGCGUUUCCGAGGCAUAUCUGUGCUGCACGCGUUCCGCAAUUCGUCGAGCGAAUGGGGCAAGGAAACCGCCGAGAGGAUAAUUACCAGUUACGACCGACUGCAAUGGCUGCCGAAUUCCAUAUACCCGGAAUACCAUAAAGUGUACGAGAUGAUGGCCGACGGAGGUACAAAUUAUUCUUUGUACAAAUCGCUGGCAGGAUAUACGGUUGUCAGUCUGAACGAGGAUCGCAAGAACGAGAACAUGAGCGGAAAGAAGACAGCCACUCUUUCUGCUCCGAAUGGCGAACUCCAUACGUUUGAGGUGUCCGCCGUGGCUAUUCUUAUCGGAUACAAGCCGGAUCUGUCAUAUUUGGAAGGUGGCGGCUUGGGACUGGGUAAAUUCGCGGACAAGUUGAUCGACAGCAAGUCAAAUCCAAUUGAGAUCGACGAUUUCACGUAUGAAGUGAUGAAAUCGCCGACGAAGGGGCUUUACGCGCUCGGGCCUCUAGUAGGUGACAACUUCGUCCGCUUCGUUCUGGGCGGUGCGUUUGGAAUCCUGGCGCACAUCCUGUGUACUAUGAACACCUGAGGUAUCUGACAUUCACUCGCGCGAACCGAUCGUGUCUUAACAAAAUUGUUUUAUACAUAUACAUGUAGACAAUAUAUAUAUCUCGGCAUGUACAUUAGCAAUGAGAUCGUGUGGGUCUUACUGCUCAACUCGUACAAGCACUGAAAGACAACUCUGCUCAGUCUUUCACGCUUUUACGAAGAGAAUCACUAGGCAAAUCAAUUUCUAUACACUGUUAAAAUUAUUUUUAUAUUCUUUUUCACAUUGUCACACUGUGCAAGGAGACGAUCGGCUUUUAUUGUACAUAAUUAAUUAUUUCGCCGAGAUACUGUUCAGUGAAGUAAACCGUGAUAAAGAGAGAAUUUUUGUGCGAUAUAGAAAUAUCAUAAUUCUAGAUCUGUUUGCGUUCGUUAACAUUCCACUUGGCAAAGAAAUUAUUUAUAGGAUUUACAGUAACAAUUUACAUAAUUUAACGUCUGAAAAUGCAUUUGUCAUCGGUUAAAUAUGAAUCCAUCCCUUUGUACAAAUGCCACACCUUUGUAGAAAAUGUACAUAUAAACAAUCAACAAUUUCUAAUAACGAGUUUCGUUACAGUAACAGUAUCUGCAAAAAUAUACAACGAAACUCUUAACAUAAAUUCUGUUACUCAAUUCAAACUUACGUUGCCUUUUUGUGAUUGACUUAAUUGUUCUUUACGCGCGUCUAUUUAUAUACGGAUUACAGCAAUAUUAAUUAUAUUUAUUUUCGUGGGACUUAGGAUCCAUAUUUGUAUAUAUAUUCUAUUACAGAAGCGCCGAACACAGUUAUAAUAAUUUAACAGAGAGCAUUUCUAUAUUUCAUAUUAUUUUCUAACAAUUGCGGAAGAAAAGUAUCACGAGAUGAAUCCAGUGAUUGCAAGAAUGAUCUCGUUUAACAAUUGGAUGUUCAGAACUGUAUCUACAUGGAGAAAUGUUUUACAAUACCAAUAUGAAAAUUCGUAUUGCAACAUUUCUAUCGUGAUCAAUAUCAUACAAUGUAAAUAAAAAUAAUUUAUAUAA
rnacentral:misc_RNA from 1 species